UUUAUGCUUAUACCAUGCCGGCAAGCUGAGGAGGGGAAGUCUGUGCUCCAGCUACUUCAUGUCCUGCCUGGAAAUGGCGAGAGUCAUACCAGGUGCUCUCGGUCAUUUUCAAGCCUCUGCCACCAGACUGCCCCAUGGAGUUGAUUUCCACGGCACAGUUCCUGACCUUAAACUGUUUCUGAAUCCACUGGGGACUUGGGUAGUGGGUGGAAAGUGAGGACACACACUCCUCAGUAAAGAACAGGUGCCAAAUCUGUGCAAGAACUUAGGACAGUCUAGUGCUCGUCACCAAAUCCCUGCCGUUAGCGAGAGGAAGAAGCCGCCCCUACCGUCUAAGAGCCAGCUGGAGGUGCAGUGCAGCCAGAACGCACUGGCCGCAUGUGUGGGGCCCCAGGCUCCAUCCCAGCAUCCCAGAUAAACAAGCACCUUAAUGGCUUAGCUCCUGUCCUCCCACUGAGCCCAGGGCUCUAAAGUGUCCACACAGACUGUACCCCGGGGAGGCCUUGCCAUCUCUGAACAGUGUGGCAAUCUCGCCCCCUUCACCGGCUGUCUAAACUUUCCUUCAGGGUUUUUCUGUAUAUACCGACAGACAGCCAUACCCUACCACAGGCCAAAAAUUCCCUGAAGUCAGAGGGGCAUGGACUGAAUGGGUAGGAAAUUAAUUUUUAUCAAGGCCCCAGGAUCUGCCUUUGCCUGGAAGGACUGUUCCUAACUUGCUAAGGUUCUAGCGGCAGGAUUGACCUGACCCCAAAUACAGCUGUACAGUUAAGACAAUGGUUCACACUCCUCACCUGCUCAUGGGCCACUUGCUGAGCGGCCGCCCUCACAGACCACAUCUCCCUGCUCUGGGGAGUGAUGCCUGGUCCCCGGUGCUAUCUAGUUGAGGUACCGAGCCCCUCAUAUGUGAGUGUCCCAUCUUCUUCCCUAUCUCCGCACUCCUCCCCCAAGUAAACCCCCUUAGCUCCCGCCAGAAUGAGGGCUUAGCUUUUGUCCUUCAAAAGACCAGACCCGGUGUCAUCAUCGCCAGUGGCCUUCACCCUCACUUCUAUGCUUUUAAGAGCAAAGGUGCCCCACCAGGCUUACUACAGCAAUAAGCAAUUCUAUUGCAAUGGAGGUGCCCAUACUAUGCCUGCAAUGCCUUUAUGCCCUGUAAUUAUGAGCAGCGCCUCUCUUACAUACCAGGGAGUGUGAUAAACUGUGGCCACCUUAGCCAUACAUGGCUCCCGUUUCAGGGCCACUGAGGAGCUAGGUUGCUUCUAACCCCUCCAGAAACAGUGGGCUCUAGGCAGCGCGUGGUCCAUUGUAUUUGUGUGCCCACGGCUGGUGCUGGGGACCCCUGGGUUCUCAGUUCUUCUCACACCCCCUAGGUCAACUGACAGGUCCUGAUGGUGGCUUUUAUUUCCUGUGAGUGUUUAAUGUGAGGGGGCAGGGGGUAAACACCUAGCCGUAGCAUGUAGAGACUAUAUACCAUUAGACUUUUCUUUUUUUUAAAAUAAUAAACAUGCUUGACUGGUUUCAAGCUUCGUUGUAAAGAUG
rnacentral:lncRNA from 1 species